rnacentral:lncRNA from 1 species
UGUGUGUGUGAGUGUGUGUGCCAACGUGCAUGCCUGUAUGUUUGUGCGACUGUUAUAAACGAACUCUGGUUAAAACGCCAUAUCGACGAAAAAGCAAGAGAAAGUAAAUAAAUAAAUGAAAGAGAAAGAACGACAGAGGAGGAGGAGGAGGUUAGAGGAAACAACAAAACAGAAGAGAGGGUGAGGUGUGGGAGGAGGAAAAGAAGAGGACAAAGGAGGAGGAAAAGCAAGAAGUAGGAGGAGGUGAAGAAGAAUUUAAGAGCCGCUACCAGUUUGAGGCAGCGACGGAGAGACUAGAACAGAAGGAGAGAGAAGGAAGGUGAGAAGAAGGAGGAGGAGUAAGAAACAUAAGUGGAAGGAGGAAAGAGGAGGAGUCAAUGCAAAGCUGUUUCUCAUGUUUUUUUUCGUUUCUUUCUUUCACGCUAAAAUAAGGGGGAAAGGCAGAGGUUGUCAGUCUGUGGGUAAAAUUAUGAUAAUGUGAUAGGAAAUGGGCGUGGUUUACAUGGGAUAGAUUAGAAGCAUCGUAAAAGAACGGAUAUGCUCGACGUUUAUUGUUUGCUGUUGUUGUUGUUGCUACUGCUGUUGAUGUUGCUGUUGUUGUUGCUGCUGUUACUGGUGGUGUUGUUGUUGCUGUGGUUCACUGUAAGUAGUAGUGGUGGGAGGAGAUGGAAGAUGUGAGGGUGAGAAGCGAUUGCUAGAGAAAGGGAAGAAACAAGGAAGCGAAAGAGAGGUAGGGGGAUAGGAGUCGGUAAACGUGAGAGAGAGAGGGAGAAGGACAGAGACUAAACUUGAAAGGAGGAGAAGGAAGAGAGAAAGAGAGGCAGACAGACAAAGUGAGAGAGAGAGAGAGAGAGAGAGAUGAAGAGAGGUAACGAGGGGUUUUGAUUGACGUGACGUUGAUGUAUUUGUACAUGUAUGAACCAAGAGAAAGUAAGACAAGAGAGAGAGAGAGGGAAUAAAGAGAAAGAGAGAAAGUUGGGACAAGACGGAGGAAGGGGAGGAAGAAAACGAAAGAAAGAUGAACUAAAUGCGAUAAAAUUGAUUAACUACGAUGUGUGCAUGUAUGUGUAUGUUGUGUGUGUGUGUGUGUGUGUGUGUGCGUGUUCAUGUGUAUGCUCUGUGUGUGUGUAUGUGUGUAAAUGUUACUCCAAGGCUAGACUGCGUGAUGUUGGUAUGUGUUCAUGCAGUGUGUGAGUAUAUAUAUAUAUAUAUAAGUGUAUGUGUGCUUGUGUUUGUAAGGAGAUUUGUGUGUUUGAAAAAAUGAAUAAAUAAAAGAAAUAACAAACUAAAUAGAUUAGUUAAUAAAUAAAUAAAUAAAAACUUCCGGGUAUAUCGGAGUCGGAUAUAGUCAGAGCAACGUCACUUCCGGGGAUGGGACAGGUUUUUCGUUGAUUGCUAAGGUAGAAGUCAGUACUUACUGACGACUGACAGCUGCAGGGAGAGAGAGUGGGGAGGAUGGCGGAGAGAGAGACGAGAGAGACGGAGAGAGAGAGAAAGACAGACAGACAGAUAGAUAGAUAGAUAGAUAGAUAGAUAGAUAGAUAGAUAGAUAGAUGGAUGGAUGGAUAGAUAGAUAGAUAGAUAGAUAGAUAGAUAGAUAGAUAGAUAGACAGACAGACAGAUAGAUAGAUAGACAGACAGACAGAUAGAUAGAUAGAUAGAUAGACAGACAGACAGAUAGAUAGAUAGACAGACAGAUAGAUAGAUAGAUAGAUAGAUAGAUAGAUAGAUAGAUAGAUAGACAGACAGAUAGACAGAUAGAUAGAUAGAUAGAUAGAUAGAUAGAUAGAUAGAUAGAUAGUUUAUUGGCUGGUUGUUGUCGUUUAGCCCUGGUCCAAAUAUUAUCCAGCAGACAUUUGAUCAACGGCAUGCCAUCCAUGCCCAGCCCGUUUCAUUAGGAGUAUCGAGGAAUACAUUAUCUAACUUAUUAUUUUUGUCGUUUGCUUUUUUUUUCUAGUCGGUUUUUAAUUUUUAGGCUAUUAUUUGAAGGGAGAAUUGGUUACUAUUUCUAGAAGUCGACCAGCCACGAUGAAACGAAAAUAAGCAUUUUUUCAGACAGGUUGUGAGAGGGAAUUAGGCAGGAAGGAAACUAAAGGUAGUAUGAGUCGAAUAAGCCCUUUCUACUCUAGGCACAAGGCUUGAAAUUUGGGAGAAUGGGGACAAGUCGAUUACAUGGCCCGCAGUGUAUAACUGGUACUUAAUUUAUCGACCCCGAAAGGAUGAAAGGCAAAGUCAACUUCGGCGGAAUUUGAACUCAGAACAUAAAGACAGGCGAGUAUGAGUCGAGUAAAUGAUUGCAUUACAUGAAAUUACACACACACACACACACAUAUACACACGUUCACACACACACACACAUAGAGAGGUACACGGAGGCUUCUAUACAGUUUUUGGCUACCAAAUUCUAUUACAAGAUAUUAUUCGGCCCGGACCUACAGUAGAAAACACUUGCCCAAGUUGCCGCGCAAUGGGAUUGAACCCGAGGACACACGUGGUACUGAAACGAACUUCUUAACCACACAGCAAUCUCUGUGUGUGUGUGUGUGUGUGUGUGUGUGUGUGUGUGUGUGUGUGUGUGUGUGCGCGCGUGCGUGUGCGUGCGUGUGCGUAUGUGUGUGUGUGUGCGCGCAACGCACGCGUAUCUUUCUGUCCGUGUUUGCCCCCACAACAACCACUUGAGAACCGAUGUUGGUGUGCUUAUGUCACCGUAAUCCAGCAGUUCGACAUAGGUGGUCGAGGAAGUAAGUAGCAGGCUUUAAAAGAUAAGCACUUCUCUCCGAAAUUCUGGUCUUGUGCCACGUGGGAAGCAAAUUUUAACAUCGACUUUCACAUCACCAAAGACCAGGUCUGACUUCUUUUGAGAUGACCUACCUGACAUUACUGUAAUCUAAUUCUUCCAAGGGUUUUCCUGCAUGUGGUUCAUUCUUAGUCUCAAAUCAGAUCUGACCGAGCACACCGUUGAUCCAUCACAUCUACUUCUCAGGCUGAGGACAGCAUAUACCAAUGUUCUCAUAUCUAUGUGAGUGGCUGUAGUAUCGGAGAGACCUAGCUGCUAUUUCUAUAGGUCGAGCGACCAUAUGGAACUAAUAUUGUCUCAAAGUCAAGGCGGCGAGCUGGCAGAAUCGUUAGAACGCAGGGCGAAAUACUCAGCGGUAUUUCGUCUGGCACUACGUUCUGAGUUCUAAUUCUGCUGAGGUCGACUUUGCCUUUCAUCCUUUCGGGGUCGAUUAAAUAAGUACCAGUUACGCACUGGGGUCGAUAUAAUCGACUUAAUCCGUUUGUCUCUCCUUGUUUGUCCUCUCUGUGUUUAGCCCCUUGUGUGUAGUAAAGAAAUAGUUAUUUCGUCUGCCUUUACGUUCUGAGUUAAAAUUCCGCCGAAGUCGACUUUGCCUUUCAUCUCUUCGGGGUCGAUAAAUUAAGUACCAUUUGCGUACUGGGCUCGAUCUAAUCGACUGGCCCCCCUCCCUAAAAAUGUGGGGCCUUGUGCCCAGACUAGAAAAGAAUGUAAUCAUAUCUAAUAGAGUGGCUAUACUAUCGGAGAGAUCUGGCUAUAGUAGGCUGUAGUGGAAGACACUUGCACAAGGUGCCACGUAGUGGGACUGAACCGAGAACCCUGUGAUUGGGGAGCAAGCGUCUUACUACACAGCCACUCCUGAGCCUAUAGUUUAGAAAUUGUAAGACCCAUCAAAAGAUUCAACAAAACACGAGAUAAUAACCGAAUUAAACGAUUUAAGCUAGAGUACCUUGGUUUCCCAUUCUGUCAGAAUCCAUCUAUCAGUUCAUUCCACGAGAUCGAUAAACAAACUGAAUGCAUUUAAUAUAUGUUAUGGUAAAGGCGGCGAGCAGGCAGAAUCAUUAGCACGCCGGACGAAAUACUUAGCAGUAUUUCGCCCGUCGCUACGUUCUGAGUUCAAAUUCCGCCGAGGUCGACUUUGCCUUUCAUCCUUUUGGGGUCGAUUAAAUAAGUACCAGCCACGCACUGGGGUCGAUGUAACCGACUUAAUCCCUUUGUCUGACCUUGUUUGUCCCCUCUAUGUUUAGCCCCUUGUGGGUGAUAAAGAAAUAAGAAUCCUUAGCACACUGUGCAAAAUACUUAACGGCGUUCCAUCCGUCUUUAAUUUCUGGGUUCAAAUAGCCUCGAGGUCGACUUAGCCUUUCGUCCCUUUCUGGAGUCAAUAAAAUAAGUACCAGCUGAACACUGGGAUCGACUAAAUUGAUUUAACCCUCCCCACGAAGUCGCUGUUCCAGUGCAAAAAUUUAAAACCAAUUUCAAAUGCCGUGCAAAACGCCGAGCAAAAUGCUUAGUACUGUAGGAGGUGUAAUUGACUGUCUCCCUCCCUCAAAAUUUCAGGCCUUGUACCUAUAGUAUAAAGGAGUAUUAUUAUUUUGAAAAUACGUUAAAAACAUACGUACUGAGUUUGGAUUUCAAUAUUUCGUUUUUAAGAAAAAUCAUAACUCUACACCAUUAUCCCCACCAGAGGGCUUCCAUGACAAUUGUCGUGACUUUGAGAGCUCACAAUCGGAAUCCCUGGCAAAGACAUUGGCAAGGGGGACCAAAACAACUUUCGGACCCAGGAGAAGAUAAUCCCCCUCAAAAUUCAAAGAUGUAAGGGUUUAUUUUUCACUUUUUGUGAGAGUAUGUUGGAAUAUAAUCACGGGAUUUCCAUGGCUUUCGGGGGCCCAGGCCGAUGUAAAAUCUAUACUACUCCCUUUUUAAAGCUCCUCAAGGGUGAACUGCAGCUUGGAUUAAGAUUCGCUGCUUUACAUGGUCAAUUACCCUCUUUCUACGACUUAGUCAGAUAAAGAAGGGCUGCACCCAUAACUUUUUAACAGGUUUUCCAAUACUAAAAGGAGAAAGGAAGUGGAGAACCCCCGACUCGUGGGUUUGUUUCACACUAAAAACUUGGUCUAUGGCCUAAAUGCUUACAACAGAUUGAACCCUGACAAAGGUACACACGGGCCAGGUGGUAGUGUUAAACUAACAGAGAGACCACGCUAUCGCCAAAGAACGGGUAUAGGACGCCCUUCACCACGCAACAGGCAAAAAUGUAAUUUCCAUGUACCCUAUUUCACGUACAAGCCUUGAGUUGAACGGGGGUUUUAGUAAAAAGCACUUAACCAAGGUACUAUGCAGCGGGAUCGAACUUGGUAUUGUAUGAGAACGAAAAGAGAAAACUUUUGUUAUACGAGGCACAUUCCAGAAGGUUUGAGACUUUUAUUAGGAGAGGCAGUUAUAACUGUUAUAGGUUAUUGUAAAUUUGGCAUAUCAUUGCUUUACAUCUGACUGGCAGCUUUUCUUACUCCAGAUUAAAGAAGACAGUUAUAGCGACACUUUGAACGCACCGCGCCCUACUAAACGUUGGUCAUCACAGUCGACUAGUUUGCAGAAUGCAGUCGAGAUGUUUGGAGAGUCGCUAUGCAAUGAAGUUGUGUUAAAUACUUUUUACUCUCUUUUACUCUUUUAUUUGCUUCAGUCAUUUGACUGUGGCCAUGCUAGAGCACCGCCUUUAGUCGAGCAAAUCGACCCCAGGACUUAUUCUUUGUAAGCCCAGUACUUAUUCUAUCGGUCUCUUUUGCCGAACCGCUAAUUUACGGGGACCUAAACAGACCAGCAUCGGUUGUCAAGCGAUGUUGAGGGAACAAACACAGACACACACAAAUAUACACAUACAUACAUACAUACAUACAUACAUACAUACAUACAUACAUACAUACAUAUAUAUAUAUAUAUAUAUAUAUAUAUACAUAUAUAUAUAUACACAUAUAUACGACGGGCUUCUUUCAGUUUCCGUCUACCAAAUCCACUCACAAGGCUUUGGUCGGCCCGAGGCUAUAGUAGAAUACACUUGCCCAAGGUGCCACGCAGUGGGACUGAAUCCGGAACCAUGUGAUUCGUAAGCAAGCUACUUACCACACAGCCACUCCCACGCCACAGAAACUUAUGAAAUGCUCCAGACUCCUGAUCGGUUCUUGUAUGAGCUGAGCAUCUGUAUCUCGCUGGCACAAAAGACUCCAGGGCGGUAGAGAGGAGGUGAGAGAUGAUGAGGGUACUGGAGAUAAAGGGACAUCAGAACAUCAGACCUAAGUUGGGAAAAUUCGCAAUUUUCACAGCGUUUGGUGUUGGAGUGCCAGAAUUAUUCAUGAAAAUCGGAACGGGCAAAAAAGUUGUACAAAGUUUGUUCCCAACAUGCUCAGUGGCGAGUAUCCUGUUAACAAACUGCUUGACAGAGAAGGGGCAUCAAAAUUGUUCUUCACCCUUCAAAAAGUCCAGUGUUUGCACCCUGUAUUUUUUUUUUGGUUGUUCCCUAAACUGAAGGAGAAUUUCAGAGGUAGUCAUUUUCAAGACAUUAAGAAGAUGAGGGAGAAUGUUACAAGCAUCAUCUAGUCUAAUGUACAGUAUCUUUUUCAUGUUUUACCUUUUACCUUUUGCAGUCAUUGGACUGUGGCCAUGCUGGAGUACCACAUCUAGAAGUUAUUUUUGUUUUGUCUGAUAUUAUUUUGGCGAAGCGCUUGUUAUGAAGGUCGCAAACAAACCAACACCAGUUUUCAAACAGUGAAGGUGGGAUAACAAAUACACAUACAAAUAUACACAGAUGCAUAUUUAUGUGCGUACGUGCGUGUGUGUGCAUAUGUAUAUAUGUAUGUGUGUAUGUAUGUCUGUAUGUAUAUGACGGGCUUCCACACAGUUUCCAUCAACCACUACCACUCCUACCCCCUAUCAUCACCACUACCAUCUCACCGCCUCUACUACUACUACUACUAUUACCACCACCACUACUACUACUACUACUACUACUACUACUACUACUACUACUACUACUACUACUACUACUACUAUUACUACGAUACCACGAUUACCUCAACUUCCACUGUCACAUCACCACCAUCACAACUACCACAUACACUACUACUACUAUUGCUACUACUACUACUACUACUACUACUACUACUACUACUACUACUACUACUACUACUACUAUUACUAUUACUACUACAACUACUAUGCCGACGACAACGAUACCACGAAUACCUCAACUGCCACCGUCACUUCACCACUAUCACAACCACCACCAGCACCACCACCACUACUACUAGUACUAUGACUAUCACGAUUACCUCAACUACUACCGUCACAUAAGGCAGUGGUUGGCCCGAGGCUCUUGUCAAACAGUAGGACUGAACCCGUAACCACAUGGUUGCAGAGCGAGCUUCUUAACCACACGGCCUUGCUUGCGCAUGCGUAAAACUACUAAAUUGAUCCGGACAUAGUUCGAAUACAUCUUUGAUCAUAUUUCUGCUAAAUCAAGGAUUAUCUGGGAGGGGGAAGGAAUAAACAGCAGCGGCAGCCGCAGCAGCAGCUACGGUUACAGGAUUUCGUGUUUAGUCGACAUUUAUCUGCGCUUCGAAGCGUCUUUAACAACAGCAAAAACAGGAAUGGCAUCAGCGGUAACCGGAAGUAAAGUAGCCACCACCACUACCACCACUGCUACUACUAAAACCAACACCACCACACUACCACCACCAAUACGUUCAAUAAUGAUGGCAUUACCACCACUUUAAUAGCGCCAAUAACAAUACUCUCACCACUACCACUAUUACUGCUACUGCUGCUGCUGUUGUUGUUGUUGAGCGAAGCGGACUUCGUCCCAGUGGGAGAAGUUGAAACGUGGUUCUUUGCUAUUCGUAAGACCCGCAGAAGAGAAAGCAGAUCAACCCCCGAAACCGAGAGCAUCGACGGAUGGAUGAAUGCGCAUCUAGGCUCAGCAGUUGCGUAGGAAGUCGGGGACAAGAAACAAGAAGAAAGAGUGAGAGAGAAAGUUGGAGUGAAAGAGUACAACAGGGGCCGCCACCACCCCCUGCCGGAGCCUCGUGGAGCUUUAGGUGUUCUCGCUCAAUAAACACACACAACGCCCGGUCUGGGAAUCGAAACCGCGAUCCUACGACCGCGAGUCCGCUGCCCUAACCACUGGCCCAUUGCGCCUCCACUGCUGCUGCUGCUGCUACUGCGAUUGUAGCCUGACAAGCAUCUGUUUUGCCCUGUUGUCUUGAACAUGUAUAUUUCUACACUUACUCGCACUAGCAACAGCAACAACAACAACAACAGCAACAGCAGAUUUGAAGCAAUACCACUGUCGACACCUACCGUCAAGGUAUAUUGAUUUCAAUGAAAUUAAGUUGGCAAACGCAAAAGAAAACAAUAAAAAAAAAUCAACCAUAAAAUAUAAUCAAUCGAUUUGGCAAUGUACUGUUAUCGAUAAUUCAAAAAUCGAUCAUCUAGGGACAUAUUGAUUCCUGCAGUCAGAUUUAUAGGGUUCCAGAAUAUAGAACAAGUGAGAAUGAGAUGGAGGUGUAUCGUCUUUUAUUUUUUCUUCGUUAUCAUGAUUCAGUCAAUUGGACUGUGGCCAUGCUGGAGCACCGUCGUUGAGGAGUUUUAGUCGAACAAAUCAACCUCGGUAUUUUCCUUUCUUUUUUUUUUGCCGGCCGUUAAUCUGGUACUUAUUCUAUCGUUCCUUUCUGCCGAACCGAUAGUUUAUGCAGAUAUAACUAACACCAGUUUGUCAAACGGUGGUGGUGGUGUUGAUGGGUAGGAAGAAAACACAGACACAAACACACACACGCAUGUAUAGACAUACGCACACACACACACACACACACACACACACACACAUAUAUGUGUAUGUGUUACCGAUCACACCAGCGGACCAGCCUGCUCCUUUUUGUCAAAUUUAAGAACUUUCUUUAUGCUUUCAGUGCGAAUGAUUUUGUUAAGCGGUGUCAAGUUUUACAAUUCUGUAAAUAAUAAUAAUGGUAUUUUUUUUUUAUAAGUUUAAAGCUUAUAGCAAUCACCGUGCCGCGAACGGGAAAGCUUUCUUUUUUCUGUCGAGAGCUCAUAUGCCCCAUUAUUAGACUACUUCCGUUAGUCAUUUGCACGGUGAUCGCUAUAAUCUUUAAGCUUAUAAAAAAUACCAUUAUCAUUAUUUACAGAAUUGUAAAACUCGAUAUCGCUUAACAAUAUAUGUAUGUAUGUAUGUAUAUAUAUAUAUAUAUAUAUAUCUUUUACUCUUUUACUUGUUUCAGUUAUUUGACUGCGGCCAUGCUGGAGCACCGCCUUUAAUCGAGCAACUCGACCCCGGGUCUUAUUCUUUUGUAAGCCCAGUACUUAUUCUAUCGGUCUCUUUUGCCGAACUGCUAAGUAACGGGGACAUAAACACACCAGCAUCGGUUGUCAAGCAAUGGUAGGGGGACAAACACACUUACACAAACACACACACGCAUAUACAUAUAUAUACAUAUAUACGACGGGCUUCUUUCAGUUUCCGUCAAGGCUUUGGUCGGCCCGAGGCUAUAGUAGAAGACACCUGCCCAAGGUGCCACGCAGUGGGACUGAACCCGGAACCAUGUGGUUGGUAAACAAGCUACUUACCACACAGCCACUCCUGCGCCUAUAUAUAUAUAUGUAUAUAUACAGUUAGAUGUAUGGUUACUACUGUAUGAGUUAAAGCUCCACAUAGAUUAUCAUUAUCGAGUCAGAUUCCACCGUAAUGGAUUAUCGACCGCUGUACUAAGCUGUGCUGCUAGUUAUGUAUAUACAGAGCAUAUGGAGUGGAAAAUUAAGGUAAACAAUAGUAUAUGUAUUAAAUUCCUACGUACGUUUCACGCAUGCACGCGCCGCAUACAGACAUGUAUUGUCCACGUUACAAGGAUUUUAUAAAUUUUUGAGAGAAACUGAAUUAAUUCUUUUUAAAAUAGUAUACCUUGAAGCAGCCCAAAAACUAUAACAAAUACCAUGUAAAUAUUGAAUCUUCCAAUAUCCUGCCCAACAGAUUUUCAACCAAAUAUUUACAUCCACAAUUCCAACAUAUAUAUAUAUAUAUAUAUAUAUAUAUAUAUAGAUAGAUAGAUAGAUAGAUAGAUAGAUAGAUAGAUAGAUAGAUAGAUAGAUAGAUAGAUAGAUAGAUAGAUAGAUAGAUAGAUAGAUAGAUAGAUAGAUAGAAAGGAGAAUAACUCCCUCUACAGAACAACAAAUUACCACUCCAAUUAACAGAGCAACAUAGAAUAUAAAGAUUAAUAAAAAGCGAACAAAUUUCGGGAGUCAGAAUUCAUUUCGUCUGUAUAUUUCUCAACAUCGGAACACAUCAUAAAAAUAUACGUAAAUAUAAAUAUGUAGAUAAAAAUAUAAAGCAUAAAUAUAUUCGCAUGACAUCGCAUGAAAUUAUGAAAUUGUAUGUCUGUGUUUGGAAUCAAUGAGAAAAUUAUUAUAUAUGCACAGUGAAUGUUGCAUUAAUCGAAAUGAUCAAAUGGAUGAAAGAGUAAUUCUAGAUGAUUCUAAGAGGAAACGUGUUCUCUUUUUAUUAUUCUUUAUAAUACAUACAUAUAUAUAUAAUAUAAUAUAUAAUACACACACACACACACACACACACAUAUAUAUAUAUAUACGGUGCUCCAGUAUGGUCACAGCCUUAGUGCUGAAACGUAUAAAAUAAUAUAUAUAUAUACAUGCAUGUAGGUACACGGCGGAUUUCCACAAAAUUUCCAAGUAACAAAUUCAUUCAUAAGGCAUUGUUAGUCCCGUGGCUAUUAUAGAAAACACUUGCCAAUAACUGACGUGGAGUGGAACUGAACGCAAAACCAUUUGGUUACAAACCGAGACUCUUAAUCACACAGCCAUGCAUACCUUUGUCUUUUCCUUCUUUGAGACAUGCGAAAUGUGUUACGUUACAUGUGCGUAUGAAAGUAAAAGUAAAAACGAACGUUGCUGCAGUCUAUCCUGUAGCUCAGAUCUGAAAAAAAGCAUUCCACUGUUACCAGCUUGUAAUGUUAAAACAGUGAUUCUCUCAUAGUGAGACAAACGAUGAUUGUGCGAACUGAUAGGGACUGACAAGUUGGUGUGUUUAAAAUUAAGAUGGUGAAUUCUUAGCCGAAGAAAGAAGAAUUAUGUGGAUGUAAACUGUUUUGCCUUCGUUAUAAUAAGGAUGUGAAGUAGUAAAACGUUUCAUACAUGCACACUGACACACAAACGCAAAAACCCUUACACUUCACUGACGCGCGCGCGCGAAUAUAUUUGGCAGUAUAGGGAUAUAUAUUUGCAUGUGUAUAUGGAUAUAUACAUACAAAUAUAUAUGUGCGUGUGGUGUGUACGCCCAGUCACACUGAUACACGCCCAAUUCUUUCUUUUACUCUGUCUCUCUGUCUCUGUCUCUGUCUCUCUCUCUCUCUCUCUCUCUCUCUCCACAAACGCACACAUACACGCACACACACAUAUACACACACACAUGUACAUACACAAAAGUCAUUGAAUAAUGUUGCAACUCUAUGCGGCUUACAAAAACCAAUCAGAAAAUCAAGCAGGUGGCUACCCAGUCUGCUGGAAAUAUCAGCCUAAUCUUCCUCAAUUCACAUGGUUCUGUCUUGUACAAACGAACGGAAUAUACAAGCAAUGAUAUAUAAAAGACAAUUUCUUCAUGGCUGGAAUUCUUUUGAUCACAAAUCUGCUCGCUCAAGGUUGACCUAGCGCUAAAAUAAAGUACCAACAUCAUCAUCAUCAUCAUCAUCGUCGUCGUCAUAAAAAGAAUACUGGUUUUUGACCAGUUGCUUGAACAGCCAAUAAUAGCGGAGCGAGUAAACCUCCCUCAAAUAACAGCCGCCGGUUUAUAAAAGAAUGCAUACAUUAGAGAAUGUAGUUCUAAUUAACUACAACGGUGGGACGAUGGUGACUGGAAUGUCGUUGGUUAAAGGUUUGCGAAGUUGGUUUAAGGACAAACAACAACAAUCUUAGGUUUAUGGUGGAAUAAAUCAGCCUAAAACAAUUGAAGGUGAUCGUGGGUUCAUUUUCCGAAUCAUUACUCUGUGAGAAAGUUGUUGAAAUUACUGAUAUGAGUAAUUUCCCUACAUUUUGUAACCAGGAACGGAUCAAUCACUAAUAAAUAUUCGCUGAUUGAAAUCUCAAGAUAUCAGUUUCUUGAUGCUAGAACUGCAGGUGCUGGCACAGUAAUGUACGAACGCCAGUAUUGAGUCCUCAGAAGAGAAGAGGUUGGUGAUAAUAACUAAACUUACUGUCCUCAAUUCGAUUUUCGUGUCUAUCUACACCAAUAGUCAUGGAUGACCGAAAGAGUACGAUCAUUCUUAGUAUGAUCUUACUUAGCUUCUCUCUCUCUCUCUCUCUCUCUCUCUCUCUCUCUCUCUCUCUCUCUCUCUCUCUCUCUCUCUCUCUCUCUCUCUCUCUUUGUUUUUUCUUUCUUUAUUUCUUUCUCUCUCAGCAGGUGAUUUGGAAGUGGUUCAAUAAUUUCCUGAAGACCAAGUGCAACGCCAGGUACAAAACGACAGAGAUUCUUCUUGGCUAAUUGAUCUGCUAGAAGUGAUACCCAAGCCUCUUUCCAGUUGUAUGAUACUGGAUAUCUUUUAUCUUUUACCUAUCUCGGUCAUUGGACUAGGGACAAAGACUUAAGUCAAACGGAUCGACCCUGAUACUUAUUUUUAAGGCCGGGCACUUAUUCUGUCAGUAACUUUUGACGAGCCGCUAAGUUACGGGAACGUAAAUAAACCAACACCGGUUGUUAAGCAGUGAUUGGACGCACACACACACUCAUAUAUAUAUAUAUAUAUAUAUAUAUAUAUAUAUACAUACAUACACACACACACAUAUAUACAUAUAUAUACAUAUAUAUAUGUAUGCACACAUGCAUACGAUGGGGGAGGUCCACACAGUUUCCGUCAGCCAAAUUCACACAUAAGAUAUAGGUCAACCUUUGGCUACAGUACUUACACACAUACAUACACACAAACACGCACGCGCACACACACACACACACACACACACACACACACACACACACACACACACACACACACACACACACACACAUAUACUAUAAUCUAAGAUAAAAAAAAGGCGGCAUAUUCAUGGCAGAAAUGUUUUUUAUCAAAGAAAUGUUGGCUGAUCAGCGGUCUCUGAUCCCUGGUCUCUCCGCCUCAGAUCUGGUUGGUUUCGUGCCUCGUCUACCUAGGCCUUCCCGACUCAUUCAUCAUUCGUUCUUUCGUCACACAUAUUCUCUUUCCACUCCGCAAACCCCGAAUUAAUCAUUACAGUAAUCUCUAUAUAUAUAAACGGCAAAAUGUCUCUGUGUGUGUCCUUUAUACAAAUCCACAAUUUUUCCGUUAGAGGGCUCGCACUUUCUAUGGUCAUUCAAAACCGUCCAAGGGUGGUCGUGCAUAUCUUUAUAUUUGCCCAGUUACCCCCACAAAGCCAUUAAAAAAUCAAUAGAAGUGACAUUUUUUGUGAAUUUUCUAUCCCAAACCCAAUCAAAAUGCCCGAAACUUGAUACGCCAAUUGAAUGCCAGCUAGCUGCAUGUGAUUGGUCGGAUAUUUGGGCAGUACUCGCGUAUAUGUGCGCAUGCACGCAGCUGUAUAUGCAUGCACUAGCACUAUGACCCGACAACGCCGGGUCAUAGUGCUAGUAUUUAAUAAAAAGGAACGGGAGAAACACGUUUGAUAAGUAGUCCUAGAUAACCCCUAAGAAGACAAGAUUAACAGGAACACCAACAGCACUAUCUUUCUUAUCCGGUCUAUGUCGUUACAACUCGAGAGAACUAUUUGUCUGAAAUGUGUGAAAGGAGGAGGAGGAGGAAAGAGAGGAGGAAAAUGGUGGUAUGAGAAUUCCCUCUUGUGUAAAGAGUAAACCCUAGAGGGAGGUGUAUAUAACUGUAGGGUGUAGAUCGGAGGUUCUCAACCAUUUUUUUUAUCUAUGGACUCAUUUAAUUACUAUUUUAUUCUGGUGGACCCCCAGAGCCAUUCGACGUUUAAAAACCAGUUAUAUAGAAACUUGUUUCAAAAUUCAUCUUUUGUUUUUCACACAUUAACUUUGUUCAGGUUGAACUACGUAAAAUGUUAGAGAAAGAAACCUAAACGUUUCUUGCAAUACAUACCAAUGCAUACAUCUGAACCUAAACUUUUUCAGGGACCCUUAAAAUACUAUUGCGGAUCUCCAAUUUACUAUUUUGUUGCGUGAACCCCCUAAAAUCUUAUACGGACCCCCAAGAGCCAUAUGGAUCCUGGUUGAGAACCACUGGUGUAGAUAAUGUAGAGGCCAACGUUUUGAACAGAAACCUUCCCUCGGAAAAGAAAUGGACGCAUAUUGGACGUAUCAUAAGAUUAAACAGUCUCAAAUAGAGAAAUGAACAGGCAUAAGGUCACAAGAUCUCACGAGAGACUCGACUCGACUCGACGUUAACUUACAACCAAACGAUAUACAAUGCUUCACCUUAAAUAACCAAAUUCGUUCCUGACAGCUUCAGAUGAUUAGCAGCUUCCAAGUUCUUGUGAUAUCGUAAACUUUCAUUCACAUAAGCUCUCCCCUUCAAAGACCAUAAUAAAUAAUAAAUAAUUCCCGAUAAUAGUUGAGUAGGGGCUUGGAGAAACGAAAUUAAUUCACUGACACCUAAUAUAACACAAAAAUAAAAUCAUAGAUUCAAAUUUCGUGGAUGAUGAUGAUGAGGUGGAUUAUGAUUAGGAAUAUGAUAAUGAUGAUGAUGAUGAUGAUGAUGAUAAUAAUAAUAAUAAUAAUAAUAAUAAUAAUAAUAAUGAUGAUGGUAAUAAUAAUAAUAAUAAUAAUAAUAAUAAUAAUAAUAAUAAAAAUAAUAAUAAUAAUCGACCAAUUUUGUACGUUACCUUAGCAUUAAUAGAACUCACGGUCGAAAGUGCAAAAUAAUAAAGAAAUAAAACAUUCCUGCAAAACUAUAGAGAGGAUAUUCUUUUCUACUCUAGGAACAAUGCCCGAAAUUUUUUGUGGGAGGGAGCUAGUCGAUUAGAUCGAUCCCAGUACGCAACUGGUACUUAAUUUAUCGACCCCAAAAAGCAAAGUAGAUCUCAGAACGUAACGGCAGACGAAAUACCUAUUUCUUUACUACCCACAAGGGGCUAAAAACAGUGGGGACGAACAAGGACAAACAAACGGAUUAAGUCGAUUAUAUCGACCCCAGUGCGUAACUGGUACUUAUUUAAUUGACCCCGAAAUGAUGAAAGGCAAAGUCGACCUCGGGGAAUUUGAACUCAGAACGUAACGGCAGACGAAAUACGGCUAUGCAUUUCGCCCGAUUCUGCCAGCUGGCCGCCUUUAUAAUGAUUAUAAUAAAUAUAGAGGGAAUAAAUAUGAAGUUAUUUAAUGUAGAAUUUUUCUCUGUAAAAUUUUGUGCAUAGUGGCAGAAUUGAUAGAGCAGUGGGUUAAAUGCAUUGCUCUAUUUGCUGUUUCAUCCUUUAGAAGGAACAGCUGUUUGUUCCUUCUCGAGCCACGCCUGGCUCAUAAGGGCCGGUUUUCCGGUUUCCUUGGCGUAUAGGUAAAGAGUGAGAGAAAGUUGUGGCGAAAGAGUUAGCAAAAGUUCGCCAUUAUCUUCUGCCGGAGCCGCGUAGAACUUAGGCGUUUCGCUCAUAAACACACACAUCGGCCGGUCUGAGAUCCGAACCCGCGAUUCCUCGACCGCGAGUCCGCUGCUUUAGCAACUAAGCCAUGUGCCUCCACUCUAUUUAGUAACAUUCAUUUAUGUUUGUGUUCAAACACAAAUGUCUAAUUAAUCCUCCAUUUCCCCCGUUACCAGUAUAAUGAUUGCUAGUCAUAUAUUGUCGGUCGUUUCAAUCGACUGUUAUCGCCUUCCCUUAAAACUUUGCAUUUUUAUAUCAAGGUUAGAAAUUGUCAUACCACAAAUGUAUACUCGCACACACACACACACACACACACACACACACACACACACACACACACACACACACACACACACAUGUAUAAAUAUCUAUCAAUAAAUCAUCUGGGCCAUAAAUGUGUUCUAUUCUAAGUCUAAGUUCCUUGCCUACUGGUAAUAUGGUCGGUCAAGUUGUCGUGCUGGUAACAGCUAUUCACCCGGAAACAUGUCUCCACGCUUUUCCUUCAUCUCCUGACAAUAAACCCGUCCUUUUCCUUAAUGUCAUGUCAAAUAUUGAGAAUUAAAUCUUGUGAUUAUCUCCCCUUUCAUACGUUUGUAUUUCUCUCUCUCUUUCUUUCUCUCUCACUACCUCUCUUUUCAUAUAUACAUAAAAUAAUAUAUAAUAAUAAAAUGUGUAUGCAUUAUAUAUAUAUAUUAUAUACAUUCAUAUGUAUGUAUAUAUAUGUGUGUGUGUAUAUAUAUAUGUGUGUGUGUAUAUAUAUAUAUAUAUAUAUAUAUAUAUAUCAUCUCAGCUAGGUCAUCCCAUAGAACGCGCCAAUAUAUAUGUGGUUUAUUGAUAGAUAUUUAUGCAAGUAUAUACACAUUCACUCAUAGACACACAAACAUAUUCGUGGAGAAUAUUUCUACUUGUAAACAAAUAGGUGUCAACACACCAAGUUAGUUCGAAUCGCCUCCAAACCAGACUGAUGGAUUCAUACAGUUCGGAGUAGUUAUCUCCUCUUCAGUACCAGACACAGGAAGGAGGAAGCGGCCACGGACUAACUUGAGAUAGAUCACUCCUACAUAUAAGAAUGGAAACUGCAGUUGGCCUCCGCGAGAUUUGUGCUCAUGACAACUUUGUCCGAUACACAAACGCAGUAGCUCUCGAUCUUAUUGACUUCGUGAACACUGUAGAUGCAACAAUUAAAUACUGAUACACGUCGCAUGGAAGCUUAAAAUAAGAGCAAACUAUAUUUUAAAGUUUAAAAUUUUGAACAUUAAAUACAAAAUACCUAUUUCAGACUUUGCUGGUUAAUGAUACAUGUAUAUCAUGAGUAAAUCAUUUUUGAAGACAGUCAGAUGUUUUUAUUAUGAAUUUUGUAAAACAUUUACUUAUAACUAGGAAAGUGCCUCAUGCAGCGUACCAUUUUGCUAUGACUCGAUGCUUUGAGAACAGUUGCUAGAAAGACUGUACUGAAUGUACUUCACGUAAAUAAUGGAGAUUCAUUAAGAUGUUUGAAUUUAAUUAAUUUAGCUUCGAAUACAUGUUUAUAUUAUCUACAAAGUUAAACAGGCUUUCAUAUAAAGUAUAUAUAUGCAAGACUCUCUUUCUCUCUCUCUAAUAUGUAUAUACAUAGCGGCGAUCUGGCAGAAACGGUAGCACACCGGGCGAAAUGCUUAGCGGUAUUUCGUAUGCCGCUACGUUCUGAGUUCAAAUUCCGCCGUGGUCGACUUUGCCUUUCAUCCUUUCGGGGUCGAUUAAAUAAGUACCAGUUACGUACUGGGGUCGAUAUAAUCGACUUAAUCCGUGUGUCUGUCCUUGUUUGUCCUCUCUGUGUUUAGACUGUUGUGGGCAGUAAAGAAAUAGGUAUUUCGCCCAUCGUUGCGUUCUGAGUUCAAAUUCCGCCGAGGUUGACUUACCGUUCAUGCAUUCGGGAUCAUAAAUUAAGUACCAGUCAAGUACUAGGGUCGAUGUAAUCGACUAUCCCCCACCCCACAAAUUACAGGCCUUGUGCCUAUAGUAGAAAAGAUAUAUUUAUAUAUAUAUAAUAUAUAUAUAUAUAUAUAUAUAGAGAGAGAGAGAGAGAGAGAGAGAGAGAGGAAAAGUUUA